rnacentral:lncRNA from 1 species
GGCUGAGGAAUGGCACGUUUGACCCGAAGGACGGUGAGGUUUGGGCCAAGUUUAAACUAGGAUCCGGGCCCAAAGCACGGAAUGUAGCACAACGCUGGAGAGGGAACCUUGGGCUAGAGACAUGGGGUUUGGAGGGAGCACGCGAGCUAAGGGCUUGGGACUCGCAUGCUGAGGUUGCGGUCCCAGCUUGGCUCCUGCGCGGGCGCCCGCGAUAUAUUUCCAAAGGGUGCACUUCGAGGUCUGGGAUCAGGACCUCGGCCACGGGGCGCACCCAGUGGCGGGGCAGCCGCGAGGAAUCCAUGCGCAACGUGGUGGUCUUGUGCUUUGGCCGCUCUCCCAAGACUUCAGGCUCCUGGAACGCGGAGGGCUCUGCCGGGGUGAGUGCACCGAGGUGGGACUCCGACCCUAUCGGGCUGCUGUGGAGCUGGCCCUUGCUCUGCAAGCUCAGCCGGUCCCCUGCCGCGUCUGGCUGGGGCAUGCAGAGGUAAAGAUCCUCGAGCGACAGGUGUGAGCCGAAGGAUGAUUCCUUCUCAGAGGCCUGAAGACGGACUACUUGGGGCUGCUUCAGAGAAGACUGGGGGCUGUAGACGCGCUCGCCUUCCGCCGUAGAUCGUAAAGACUCCUUCGAGGGCACAGCCAACAUAUGGCUUCCCUCUUGGCCGUGGGGUACUUCCAAGGCAUCCCCGGGCUCAGCUUCCUCAAACGCCUCCAAGGUGGCCGUGGGUCUCGGGGUGACUUUGGGCUCGGCAGAAGGUUCUGAAGGUUGUGUCGGCUUUUGGGACUCUUUGUCCCACGAUGAACCUAAAAGGAACUGGUCCGGGUUCCCAGGUUCCUGGGGAAACACACAAGGGUAAUGAGUUGUUGGAAAUGGAGGGAAAGGACCUCACUUCGUGGUCCUGAGCGGCUCCAGAGGAGGCUUCUGUCGGGAAGAGGCUCAGGGCUUGGGCUUACUUCGUUGUGGAACUGCUCCUCUACACAAACGGGCGCCGGUGUGUGCAGAACAGGCACGGAGCCCUGGGCCCAGGAAUCCGUAGUGCAUGCCAGGGGCUCCUCAUCCUCUCCCCACGUGGGGUCCUCAGCCACUGCAGAUUCUCCCUCAUCUCGGGCCAGGAAGCGCCACUCAGUGAUCUGCAGCAUGGCCUCUCGGGCCUGGCUAAUGGUGAAUGGAACGCACUGUGGAAGCGAGGGAGGGUCUCAGCCUUGCCAGGAGAGGCAGGGUAGAAGAUAGGUCUGGAAGACCCAGAUCUAGGCCCACCUGCUGGGUCAGAUAGACUUUGAAGGCACACUCCAUAACUCGAGUCAUAAGGUCAGCCAAGAUGUCACCCACUACGUCCUCGCCCUCCUCCAGGGACAUAAACGCAAUCCAUUCUGCCUCAUUGAGUCUCCCAGGCACGAUGUCCACCUGCGGCACCGGCUGGGUGGGUGGCCGGGCUUUUUCUGCCUUGGAUCGGGUCACCCCACGAUCUCGCGCCUGCCUCUGUGGGAACGAAAUGGGCACUCAGGACAGGAAAUCAAGGGGGUGGGACGGAUGGGCUAAGGGCUAGAAAGACUCUCCAGGUGUUUUCUAAGAAAGAAAAGGGACCAGGACAAGGAACCUUCAAGUCUGUGAUGCGCCGGAUGAACACUCUGUAGGUAUAUCACUCAAUUUAAUACUUGUAACAGCCUUCUAAGCCCUCUUUAAUGACAAGGAAACUGACACCUGACAGAAGGUAGCCCUCACUAAUCAUGUUCAUCUCAGCUCUGCUCUUUUGCCUUACUGCAGUGUCCAAGUUCUUGAGAGUUCCAAGAAUUCACCGGGAUUUAGUCUCCUCUGCUUUUGUUUCAUUUUGCUUUGAACAAUCUUGUUAUGUUGCUCUGGCUGGCCCAGAACUUACUAUGUAGAGUACCUCAAACUUGCAGCAAUUCUCCUGCCUCUGACUCUCAGAUUCUAGGAUUACAGGAAUGGAACAGCACACAAAAACCUCUCCGUUUUUGUUAUUUGUUGCCUUUUGUGGGUGUGUAUAUUUUGACCUGGAGAGUGAACUGAGGACAAUGCCUACUCACUAGGCUAAAUCCCUUCACCUCUUUUUUACUCCCUCCAGACAGGGUUUCUAUCUGUAGCCUUGGCUGUCUUGAAACUCGAUGUGUAGACCAGGCUGGCCUCAAACUUGAGCUCCACCUGCCUCCACUUCCCCAAAGAUGAGAUUAAAGGCCUGUACC